rnacentral:rRNA from 1 species
CCUACGGGAGGCAGCAGUGAGGGAUAUUGCACAAUGGCCGAAACCCUGAUCCAGCGACGUCGCGUGUGGGAAGACGGUCCUCUGGUUUGUAAACCACUGUCCCCAGGGACGAAAAUGACGGUACCUGGGGAGGAAGCUCCGGCCAACUACGUGCCAGUGGCCGCGGUACUACGGAGGGAGCAAGCGUUGUCCGGAAUUACUGGGUGUAACCGGAGUGUAGGCGGGGAUGCAAGUCGGGUGUAAAAACUACCGGCCCAACCGAGAGUCGCACUCAAAACUGCAGCUCUUGAGUGAGGUAAGGGCAGGCGGAAUGCGUAGUGUAGCGGUGAAAUGCGUAGAUAUUAGGAGGAACUCCAGUGGCGAAGGCGGCCUGCUGGGCUUUUACUGACGCUGAGGCUCGAAAGUGUGGGGAGCAAACAGGAUUAGAUACCCUUGUAGUC